UACGAAGGGGGCUAGCGUUGCUCGGAAUUACUGGGCGUAAAGGGCGCGUAGGCGGACAUUUAAGUCGGGGGUGAAAGCCCAGGGCUCAACCCUGGAAUUGCCUUCGAUACGUGGAUGUCUUGAGUUCGGGAGAGGUGAGUGGAAUGCCGAGUGUAGAGGUGAAAUUCGUAGAUAUUCGGCGGAACACCAGUGGCGAAGGCGACUCACUGGCCCGAGUACUGACGC
rnacentral:rRNA from 1 species